CUUGGCAGAGUCCCUGGGACUGAACCUGAUUGGGUGAGGAGGAACUAUCUACCCAGAAAGGACAGAGGAUGGGGGAACAAACCAGGAAAGGUCAUCACCCUCUCCGCUGCUUGGUGAACUCCUAGACGCAGGCAUGCUAACUAUAAGUGAAGAGAGCUCAGGAUCAAAGAGGACAUUGCCCUUGGACCACCGUGCAGUUAGUGAAAGUGGGUUUGUCA